AAAGAUAAAAGAGGGGAAAGGGAGUAAUAGGAACGUGAAAAGGCUUUGAUUAGUGUAUCAUAAAAUGUUAAUAUCAUUCACAAAAGAAUCUAAAAGAAUAUGGUUAGCAGGCACCACUAUAUAAGGUUCUGACACCGUAUUCAACUUCCCAUCUUAUGCAUCAAUGUGAUGUAGCCAAGUGCAAACAGAUCGUUUCUCUCACACAUGGACUUGACGAAUACAGGAAAGAUAUCAGCUUUCAAUGAG
rnacentral:lncRNA from 1 species